rnacentral:misc_RNA from 1 species
CCAAAACAUAGCUGUCCGGUCGAAAGGCCACGACGCUUCAACCCUUUGUGAACCAAAAACCUUUUCGCUUCGGUAGCGGCCCGGCCCGUCGGUCGGCGCGUCAGCCUGCCGGUAGCACCAACCAAACUUGCAGUGAAAACAUUGUCUGACAACCAAAUUUUCGAAUGAAAAUCA